rnacentral:rRNA from 1 species
UACGUAGGGGGCAAGCGUUAUCCGGAUUUACUGGGUGUAAAGGGAGCGUAGACGGCGAAGAAAGUCUGAAGUGAAAGCCCGCGGCUCAACCGCGGAAUGGCUUUGGAAACUUUUUUGCUGGAGUGCCGGAGGGGCAAGCGGAAUUCCUAGUGUAGCGGUGAAAUGCGUAGAUAUUAGGAGGAACACCAGUGGCGAAGGCGACUCACUGGACUGUAACUGACGCUGAGGCUCGAAAGCGUGGGGAGCAAACAGG